GGUUGGGUGAGGCUUGGCAGGGAUAUUCAUAGAUGAUUUGUGUAUUGGAUUUUGUCUUAUGCUAGUUACUGUCCGAUAUUGUUGCAUGCUAUUUUAUUUAUAGUUUUUAUGUUUUUUAUUUAUUGGUUUUUAUGUUUAGAUAAUUAUUUACGUUAUUUAUGUUGAAGUUACUAAUGCUCUUUUGUUGUUUUUGUUUUUGUUGUUACUUUNN
rnacentral:lncRNA from 1 species